rnacentral:rRNA from 1 species
CAGUCGCCGCGGUAAUACGUAGGUGGCAAGCGUUGUCCGGAAUUAUUGGGCGUAAAGGGCUCGCAGGCGGUUUCUUAAGUCUGAUGUGAAAGCCCCCGGCUCAACCGGGGAGGGUCAUUGGAAACUGGGAAACUUGAGUGCAGAAGAGGAGAAUGGAAUUCCACGUGUAGCGGUGAAAUGCGUAGAGAUGUGGAGGAACACCAGUGGCGAAGGCGACUCUCUGGUCUGUAACUGACGCUGAGGAGCGAAAGCGUGGGGAGCGAACAGGAUUAGAUACCCGCGUAGUCCCUGUCUCUUAUAC